GACGAACGCUGGCGGCGUGCUUAACACAUGCAAGUCGAGCGGUAGGGCCCUUUCGGGGGUACACGAGCGGCGAACGGGUGAGUAACACGUGGGUGACCUGCCCUCAGCUCUGGGAUAAGCCUGGGAAACCGGGUCUAAUACUGGAUAUGACUCCAUGACGCAUGCUGUGGGGUGGAAAGCCUUGUGCGGCUGAGGAUGGGCCCGCGGCCUAUCAGCUUGUUGGUGGGGUGAUGGCCUACCAAGGCGACGACGGGUAGCCGGCCUGAGAGGGCGACCGGCCACACUGGGACUGAGACACGGCCCAGACUCCUACGGGAGGCAGCAGUGGGGAAUCUUGCGCAAUGGGCGAAAGCCUGACGCAGCGACGCCGCGUGAGGGAUGACGGCCU
rnacentral:rRNA from 1 species